rnacentral:rRNA from 1 species
UUCCGGUUGAUCCCGCCGGACCCCACUGCUAUCGAGAUGGGACUAAGGUAUGCUAGUCGAACGACCAGAACUAUGUCUGGAAGUGGCACACUGCUCAGUAACACGUAGCUAACCUACCCUUAGGACGUGGAUACCCCCGAGAAAUUGGGGUUAAUCCGCGAUAGAUGUAAUGUCCUGGAAUGGUAUUACGUCUAAAGGUAUUUCAUACAUGUUUGAAAUAUGCCUAAGGAUGGGGCUGCGGCCGAUCAGGCUGUUGGUGAGGUAAUGGCUCACCAAACCUUUGACCGGUACGGGCCAUGAGAGUGGUAGCCCGGAGAUGGACACUGAGACAAGGGUCCAGGCCCUACGGGGCGCAGCAGGCGCGAAACCUCCUCAAUGCACUAACGUGCGAAGGGGUUACCUCGAGUGCUAUCUGAUGAAGGUGGCUUUUCCAUGGUCUAAAAAGCCUAGGGAAUAAGAGGGGGGCAAGACUGGUGUCAGCCGCCGCGGUAACACCAGCCCCUCGAGUGGUGGGGAUGAUUAUUUGGCCUAAAGCGUCCGUAGCCUGCCGGAUAAGUUUCCCGUUAAAUCCAACGUCUCAAGCGUUGGAAUGCGGGAAAUACUGUCUGGCUAGAGAGUGGGAGAGGUCAGCGGUAUUCUGGGGGUAGGGGCGAAAUCCUUUGAUCCCCGGAGGACCACCAGUGGCGAAGGCUGCUGACUAGAACACGUCUGACGGUCAGGGACGAAAGCUGGGGUAGCGAACCGGAUUAGAUACCCGGGCAGUCCCAGCUGUAAACGAUGCAUGCUAG